UGAGCUGGUGUUCCUCGAAUGAGAAGGCACUAUGGUGAAUCCGUCAACUAUUAGUAAUUUCACCAUGACUCAGCUGACGACCACAGUGCCUUCUCAUUCGAGGAACACCUGCUCA
rnacentral:miRNA from 1 species